GUAUUUAAAUUGCUUCUGCUAGUUUGAUUCGGCUGCUAUACUUGGAGUGUGUACACCCUAAGUGGAUUACUACUCUGUACCUGGGACGAACAGUUUUCUUGUCGCAAUUUAUUAUAAAAAUAAACCCAUAGAUAAGAAAAUCUUUUAAAGUUUAUGAACACGAACAUAGUUUCCAUUGGCUGGUCACUGCUGAUGAAAAUUUGAUCAUAGAAUUCUGUAUCUGAUACAAUAAUAAUGUCUCUAGUAAAAACUUCAAAAACACAAAAGUAGCCGGUACCGGUUGGAUUGAUUAAUAUUUUAUAUUUCAAAAUAAAACAGUGGACAAAAGAAUGUCAAUACGAAAAUGUGAAUAUGCGGUUCUAAUUUCUAUUUAUAAAAUUAAUAUAAAUAACUUGAACAAGAAAUUUAAAAUAGUGUGCUAAUGAAUAGUGUACUACUGUUGUUAUUAUUACAGCAACAGAACAUACUUAUUAAAGUAUACAUGUAGUGGUUUUAAUAAUAUUACACAUUGUUAUUACACGUUCUUAUUGAAGUAAUAAAUUAUAAAAAAAUAUUACAAAUAAGA